AAGGAGUGGAACAGGCUAGCUCAGAAUCCAUUUCUUGCCUUUUACCAGAGAUGGCCGUGGCUCUGUCCAAAUACUCCUAUCUCUCAAUCUUUGGAAAUCUCCCGUCGACCACAGU
rnacentral:snRNA from 1 species